UACGAAGGGGGCUAGCGUUGCUCGGAAUCACUGGGCGUAAAGGGCGCGUAGGCGGCGUUUUUAAGUCGGGGGUGAAAGCCUGUGGCUCAACCACAGAAUUGCCUUCGAUACUGGGACGCUUGAGUGUGGUAGAGGUUGGUGGAACUGCGAGUGUAGAGGUGAAAUUCGUAGAUAUUCGCAAGAACACCGGUGGCGAAGGCGGCUCUCUGGACCGAUACUGACGCUGAGGCGCGAAAGCGUGGGGAGCAAACAGG
rnacentral:rRNA from 1 species